rnacentral:rRNA from 1 species
UACGAAGGGGGCUAGCGUUGCUCGGAAUCACUGGGCGUAAAGCGCACGUAGGCGGCUUCUUAAGUCAGGGGUGAAAUCCUGGAGCUCAACUCCAGAACUGCCUUUGAUACUGAGGAGCUUGAGUCCGGGAGAGGUGAGUGGAACUGCGAGUGUAGAGGUGAAAUUCGUAGAUAUUCGCAAGAACACCAGUGGCGAAGGCGGCUCACUGGACCGGCAUUGACGCUGAGGUGCGAAAGCGUGGGGAGCAAACAGG